rnacentral:rRNA from 1 species
UACGUAGGGGGCGAGCGUUGUCCGGAUUUAUUGGGCGUAAAGAGCGUGUAGGCGGCCAGGUAGGUCUGCUGUGAAAACUCGAGGCUCAACCUCGAGACGUCGGCGGAAACCAUCUGGCUAGAGUCCGGAAGAGGAGAGUGGAAUUCCUGGUGUAGCGGUGAAAUGCGCAGAUAUCAGGAGGAACACCGGUGGCGAAGGCGGGUCUCUGGGCCAAUACUGACGCUGAGGAGCGAAAGCGUGGGGAGCGAACAGG